rnacentral:rRNA from 1 species
AUUGAACGCUGGCGGCAGGCUUAACACAUGCAAGUCGAGCGGGGGAAGGUAGCUUGCUACCGGACCUAGCGGCGGACGGGUGAGUAAUGCUUAGGAAUCUGCCUAUUAGUGGGGGACAACAUCUCGAAAGGGAUGCUAAUACCGCAUACGUCCUACGGGAGAAAGCAGGGGAUCUUCGGACCUCGCGCUAAUAGAUGAGCCUAAGUCGGAUUAGCUGGUUGGUGGGGUAAAGGCCUACCAAGGCGACGAUCUGUAGCGGGUCUGAGAGGAUGAUACGCCACACUGGGACUGAGACACGGCCCAGACUCCUACGGGGGGCAGCAGUGGGGAAUAUUGGACAAUGGGGGGAACCCUGAUCCAGCCAUGCCGCGUGUGUGAAGAAGGCCUUAUGGUUGUAAAGCACUUUAAGCGAGGAGGAGGCUACUCUAGUUAAUACCUAGGGAUAGUGGACGUUACUCGCAGAAUAAGCACCGGCUAACUCUGUGCCAGCCGCCGCAGUAA